rnacentral:rRNA from 1 species
CAGUGAACACGUGCGAGUCGAGCGGGCGAGGUUGCUUCGGUAACUGAGCUAGCGGCGGACGGGUGAGUAAUGCUUAGGAAUCUGCCUAUUAGUGGGGGACAACAUUCCGAAAGGGAUGCUAAUACCGCAUACGUCCUACGGGAGAAAGCAGGGGCUCUUUAUGACCUUGCGCUAAUAGAUGAGCCUAAGUCGGAUUAGCUAGUUGGUGGGGUAAAGGCCUACCAAGGCGACGAUCUGUAGCGGGUCUGAGAGGAUGAUCCGCCACACUGGGACUGAGACACGGCCCAGACUCCUACGGGAGGCAGCAGUGGGGAAUAUUGGACAAUGGGGGGAACCCUGAUCCAGCCAUGCCGCGUGUGUGAAGAAGGCCUUUUGGUUGUAAAGCACUUUAAGUGGGGAGGAGGCUUACCUGGUUAAUACCUGGGAUAAGUGGACGUUACCCACAGAAUAAGCACCGGCUAACUCUGUGCCAGCAGCCGCGGUAAUACAGAGGGUGCGAGCGUUAAUCGGAUUUACUGGGCGUAAAGCGCGCGUAGGUGGUUAAUUAAGUCAAAUGUGAAAUCCCCGAGCUUAACUUGGGAAUUGCAUUCGAUACUGGUUAGCUAGAGUAUGGGAGAGGAUGGUAGAAUUCCAGGUGUAGCGGUGAAAUGCGUACAGAUCUGGAGGAAUACCGAUGGCGAAGCAGCCAUCUGGCUAAUACUGACCUGAGUGCGAAGCC